UACGUAGGGGGCAAGCGUUGUCCGGAUUUAUUGGGCGUAAAGCGCUCGCAGGUGGUUCGUUGCGUCGUGCGUGAAAGACCCCGGCUCAACUGGGGAGGGUCGUGCGAUACGGGCGGACUGGAGGCCAGUAGGGGAUGCGGAAUUCCGGGUGUAGUGGUGGAAUGCGUAGAGAUCCGGAGGAACACCAGCGGCGAAGGCGACACGCUGGGCCGUACCUGACGCUAAAGCGCGACAGCAUGGGGAGCAAACGGG
rnacentral:rRNA from 1 species